ACGAUCAUACCAGCACUUGUGCACCGGAUCCCAUCAGAACUCCGAAGUUAUGCGUGCUUGGGUGAGAGCAGUACUAGGAUGGGUGACCCCCAGGGAAGUCCUCGGGUUACACCU
rnacentral:rRNA from 1 species